AGUGAACGCUGGCGGUGGGCCUAACACAUGCAAGUCGAACGGCAGCACAGUAAGAGCUUGCUCUUACGGGUGGCGAGUGGCGGACGGGUGAGGAAUACAUCGGAAUCUACUUUUUCGUGGGGGAUAACGUAGGGAAACUUACGCUAAUACCGCAUACUACCUACGGGUGAGAGCAGGGGAGCUUCGGGCCUUGCGCGAUUGAAUGAGCCGAUGUCGGGUUAGCUAGUUGGCGGGGUAAGGGACCACCAAGGCGACGAUCCGUAGCUGGUCUGAGAGGAUGAUCCGCCACACUGGAACUGAGACACGGUCCAGACUCCUACGGGAGGCAGGAGUGGGGAAUAUUGGAAAAUGGGCGAAAGCCUGGUCCAGCCAUACCGCGUGGGUGAAGAAGGCCUUCGGGUUGUAAAGCCCUUUUGUUGGGAAAGAAAAGCAGCAGGUUAAUACCCCGCUGUUCUGACGGUACCCAAAGAAUAAGCACCGGCUAACUUCGU
rnacentral:rRNA from 1 species